rnacentral:sRNA from 1 species
UGCUCCCCAGGCCAGCAGGAGCUUCCUGAGCUACAGGCAUGGCAACAGUGCACCCCAGUUCCACACCCAGCAGGCGCAACCAGAGUCUCGUGUGUGCUGACCACAGGAGCCGAGCCUUUUCCUGCAUGUGGACUCAUGCAGCCAAGGCUGGGCCUGGUCACCCAGGAUCCUCACCAUGUGACCCCAGCCAAUCGAGGGGACAGUUCAAGGAGGAGGAGACCCCUAUUAGACAGGAAGCACAUUUGUGUUCAAGUGAAGGCAGAGGCAUCCACCCCAGGUCACUAGAGCACAGGUGCAGAGAGGAAAAGCUGUCAGCUGGUGCCAGCCUCCAAGGGCCAGCGCUACCCUUCAACAGCUGGAGGCACCACUGUGCCAGGCUUUCCACACCGGCCUCCUUCAGGAACAAGACAUCCUCACCAAGCAGGGUGAGGUAUGGGCUCCGGUAUGGGCUCCAGGACUGGC